AUUGAACGCUGGCGGAAUGCUUUACACAUGCAAGUCGAACGGCAGCACAGGGCAACCUGGUGGCGAGUGGCGAACGGGUGAGUAAUACAUCGGAACGUGCCCAAUCGUGGGGGAUAACGUAGCGAAAGUUACGCUAAUACCGCAUACGAUCUACGGAUGAAAGCGGGGGAUCGCAAGACCUCGCGCGAAUGGAGCGGCCGAUGUCGGAUUAGGUAGUUGGUGGGGUAAAGGCCUACCAAGCCAACGAUCUGUAGCUGGUCUGAGAGGACGACCAGCCACACUGGGACUGAGACACGGCCCAGACUCCUACGGGAGGCAGCAGUGGGGAAUUUUGGACAAUGGGCGCAAGCCUGAUCCAGCCAUUCCGCGUGCAGGAUGAAGGCCUUCGGGUUGUAAACUGCUUUUGUACGGAACGAAACGGUUCUCUCUAAUACAGGGGGCUAAUGACGGUACCGUAAGAAUAAGCACCGGCUAACUACGUGCCAGCAGCCGCAGUAAAAC
rnacentral:rRNA from 1 species